GCUACGGGAGGCUGCAGUGGGGAAUAUUGGACAAUGGGGGAAACCCUGAUCCAGCGACGCCGCGUGAGAGAAGAAGUAUUUCGGUACGUAAAGCUCUAUCAGCAGGAAAGAAAAUGACGGUACCUGACUAAGAAGCCCAGGCUAACUACGUGCCAGCAGCCGCGGUAAUACGUAGGGGGCAAGCGUUAUCCGGAUCUACUGGGUGGAAAGGGAGCGUAGACGGCCAGACAAGUCAGAAGUGAAAGCCCAGGGAUCAACCCUGGGACUGCUUUUGAAACUGCCGGGCUGGAGUGCAGGGAAGGUAAGCGGAAUUCCUGGUGUAGCGGUGAAAUGCGUAGAUAUUAGGAGGAACACCAGUUGCGAAGGCGGCUUACUGGACUGUAACUGACGUUGAGGCUCGAAAGCGUGGGGAGCAAACAGGAUUAGAUACCCCAGUAGUC
rnacentral:rRNA from 1 species